UAAGUACUCCCUCCGUCCCAAAAUUCUUGUCUUAGAUUUGUCUAAAUACGGAUGUAUCUAGUUACGUUUUAGUGUUAGAUACAUCCGUUUCUAGACAAAUGUAAGACAAGAAUUUUGGGACGGAGGGAGUAGUAA
rnacentral:pre_miRNA from 1 species